GACGUAGGGCGCGAGCGUUGUCCGGAUUUAUUGGGCGUAAAGAGCUCGUAGGCGGCUUGUCGCGUCGUCCGUGAAAACCCACAGCUCAACUGUGGGCUUGCGGUCGAUACGGGCAGACUAGAGUUCGGUAGGGGAGUCUGGAAUUCCUGGUGUAGCGGUGAAAUGCGCAGAUAUCAGGAGGAACACCGGUGGCGAAGGCGGGACUCUGGGCCGAUACUGACGCUGAGGAGCGAAAGCGUGGGGAGCAAACAGG
rnacentral:rRNA from 1 species